ACCAGAAGAAUUAAUAAUUAUGUGACGAUAAAUAGAAAAAAAGUUGCUCACAUAAUAGCAACAACAACAAUGACGAUGAACACCCAGAUGGAUUAAACAGCAUCAGGAACCGAAGGUGUCGUAAGUCCCGGCUCGUCUUACCAUGCCAUUAAUCAGUCACAAUGUUUUUGUCCUCACGCUUGGCUCCGAUUGGCCGAGGGAGUGUACGUGCUCAAAGUUGGCAGUAUCGGAUUUAUAAAAUAAUAUCAAAACAAACAGAGUGUCUGUAUCACUGACGGUUUAGAUCAUCGCCCACAUCCACUGUUUACCCAACCAGCCGCUCGCCAUCUCCUGCACUAUUGUUAUUGUACAUAGUGCGUGUUUUGAAAAUGCACAGCAGUGACGUCAAGUACCAAGGGGUGCAUGAGGUGUGUGUGAGAGAGAGAAAGAGAUAGAGAGAAUAUCUGAGAUAAUGUUUAGAAAUUCCUCAUCUUCGAACAAGCCAUGACCAGCAGAAUAAAAGUACUUUUACAGUGAGAGUUGAUUAAGAAGCUUAAAAUCCAGGUUUUACGGAUUUGUCUCAUUCCAUCGCGGUCUUUGUGUCUUACUAUCCUCGACCUCUUUGUGCUUCGAUGACGGAAACGUGGAGUUCAUGCCAUCACACAUAUAUAAGAGAAAGAAAUGGUACAACAUGUUACAGGUGGAUAUUUUUAAGGCGUUACGAUGAAGAGAUCUAAUCGAAAUGCAAACCUCAGUGAAUCUUGUUUAUCUUGUACAGACGUAUCCUGAUUAAAUUUUUUGUGUGUGUGUACAAGAUGAACAGGAUUCAAUGAUGAUUGCGCGUUAGUGUGUAGGUGGUUGUAUAACAGGCCGGUCGGUUAUCAUCACCUAAUCAUCAAGUCGCAGCUUUUGCUUUCUCGCACUGUCUCUGCCUUUUUCUCUCUGACCCCAUUUACAUCCGGUAUCCGAACCCAUCUCGAGUGAUCCUAUCAUAAGUGGACUGUGCUCGGUACAGGUGGAGACAGGGUCGGUAGUGUAAAAUGUGUGUACAGUAGCCAAACGUUCUUAAAUAAGUACUGUUAAUUAAAAAUAACAAUUCACACCGAGGUAAAAGUUGUCAGCCAAAUAGCAGCAAGACUUUUUUUUUUUUUAAAUAGACUUUAAUGAGUAGACUGUGUUGGAAUGUUAAUGAUCCUGUAACUUUACAGACAGGGGGAACAUUAGCAAUAGAGCUAUACAGAAAGUGAAAACCCAUCCAUCCAUUUUUUUUAACUGCCCACCCAUCUAGCUGUCCAUACAUCCAUUUACCCAACCAGCCAUACAGUGUACCCACCCAGAAAUCCAUCUAUCCAUCCAUCCAUCCAUCUAUCCAUUCAACCAACCUACAUGUCUGUCCAUCUGACCAUCCAUCCAUACAUCCAUGCAUGCAUCCAUCCCUCUGUCCAUCCAUCCAUCUAUCCAUCCAACCAACCUACAUGUCUGUCCAUCUGACCAUACAUCCAUGCAUGCAUCCAUCCCUCUGUCCAUCCAUCCAUCCAUCCAUCCAUCUAUCCAUCCAACCAACCUACAUGUCUGUCCAUCUGACCAUACAUCCAUGCAUGCAUCCAUCCCUCUGUCCAUCCAUCCAUGCAUGCAUGCAUGCAUCUACCCAUCCAACCUACAUGUCUGUCUAUCUGUCCAACCAUCCAUCCAUGCAUGCAUACAUACCUCCAUCCAUCCACCCAACCUACCUACGUCUGUCCGUCCAUCCACCCAACCUACCUACGUCCCUCCCUCCAUCCAUCCAACCUACCUGUCUAUUUCUGUCCAUCCAUCCAUUAAUCCAUCCAGUCAACCUACUUAUCUGUUUGUCCAUCAACCAACCAUCCAUCCACCCAACCACCCACAAAACUGCCUGUCCGUCAAUCCAUCCUUCCACCCACUCAUAUAUUUCAGCGUUCAGUUCUCUUCCUCUCUCCUUUUAAAGAGGCUCUUCACUGCUCGUUUGUUUCAUUUCCUCUUUGCCCCUCCUCUUCCACAGUCGCUUUGAAAAAGCUCUCAUCAGAACACAGAAUCACAAGCCAACACGUUGCAUGCGCUGCAGAUUUACGUAUAUGCAUCUGCAGAAUUGAUCUCUAUGCAUGUUUAAAAUGCACGUUGAUGAUCCUUCAUGCACACACACACACACACACACACAUACACAUACAUACAAACAGUACUAUGAUGCUACACUGCUUUGAGCGCAUUUUAUCUCUCUCUCUUCUUGCCUGUUACUCUAGAGCUCGUUUUUUUUUUAUAAAUCCUGCUGCUUAACACUGAUGUGUGUAGGUAGUGUGAUGAGUAUGCAAGUAAUCAUUAUAGCCUGAUUUAAUUAUUUAAUUCUUGCCAACGUGUUGUGCCACAGAGAUCCCGUAGAGCAGAAAGUAAUCAUCUGUAAUGACUGCACAUAUGGAGAAGAGAAUGUGCAGGAGGGACAAAGAGAAAAGCAGAGCUCAUCUCAAGAGACCGAUAAAGCAGGAGUGGCUUCUGUUUUCUAGCCAAACCAGCAAUAUCUGCAGCGGCUGAAAUUUUACCACGCGAUCCUCAUUUAACGUCGCAUAGUUUCCAUUCUGUCCCGCGUUACUCAGAGGUGAAGUAAUGGAUACCGGUGCAUUUGAAAGUACAGAUUGAAGGAAUUGCCCAAACAGACGUUCUGUUGGAUGCGUCCCAUAUGCUAGUGUGAGAUAAAAGAGCUCUUGGUAGAAAUAGUCAUCCAGGAUACCGUGAAGAGAAAAGAGGAUGGGGUUGUUUUUCUUACUUUAAUGGAGAUUUAUGAGAACGCGCUAAUCCUCACCUGCUUCGUUUGACGAUUCUUAAAAUUGGCUGCUGUAGCUAGUCUGAAUAAUAGCUAGACGUAAUCGUCGCGUCUAAUACACUGCGCUUUGCAAGGUCAGGGUGCAUGCUUAUAUAUAUGUGUGUGUGUGUGUGUA
ensembl:lncRNA